UACGUAGGGGGCAAGCGUUGUCCGGAAUCAUUGGGCGUAAAGCGCGUGUAGGCGGCUCGGUAAGUCUGCUGUGAAAGUUCAGGGCUCAACCCUGAAAUGCCGGUGGAAACUGUCGAGCUAGAGUCCGGAAGAGGCGAGUGGAAUUCCUGGUGUAGCGGUGAAAUGCGCAGAUAUCAGGAGGAACACCAAUGGCGAAGGCAGCUCGCUGGGACGGUACUGACGCUGAGACACGAAAGCGUGGGGAGCAAACAGG
rnacentral:rRNA from 1 species